rnacentral:rRNA from 1 species
UACGAAGGGGGCUAGCGUUGCUCGGAAUCACUGGGCGUAAAGCGCACGUAGGCGGAUUGUUAAGUCAGGGGUGAAAUCCUGGAGCUCAACUCCAGAACUGCCUUUGAUACUGGCGAUCUUGAGUCCGGGAGAGGUGAGUGGCACUCCGAGUGUAGAGGUGAAAUUCGUAGAUAUUCGGAAGAACACCAGUGGCGAAGGCGGCUCACUGGCCCGGUACUGACGCUGAUGUGCGAAAGCGUGGGGAGCAAACAGG